rnacentral:rRNA from 2 species
AAAACUUUUAACAACGGAUCUCUUGGUUCUGGCAUCGAUGAAGAACGCAGCGAAAUGCGAUAAGUAAUGUGAAUUGCAGAAUUCAGUGAAUCAUCGAAUCUUUGAACGCACAUUGCGCCCGCCAGCAUUCUGGCGGGCAUGCCUGUCCGAGCGUCAUU